AACGUUAAUCGGGGCAGGGUGAGUCGACCCCUAAGGCGAGGCCGAAAGGCGUAGUCGAUGGGAAACGGGUUAAUAUUCCCGUACUUGGUGUUACUGCGAAGGGGGGACGGAGAAGGCUAUGUUGGCCGGGCGACGGUUGUCCCGGUUUAAGCGUGUAGGUGUGUGUUCCAGGUAAAUCCGGUUCACUUUAACACUGAGGCGUGAUGACGAGGCACUACGGUGCUGAAGCAACAAAUGCCCUGCUUCCAGGAAAAGCCUCUAAGCAUCAGGUAACAUCAAAUCGUACCCCAAACCGACACAGGUGGUCAGGUAGAGAAUACCAAGGCGCUUGAGAGAACUCGGGUGAAGGAACUAGGCAAAAUGGUGCCGUAACUUCGGGAGAAGGCACGCUGACAC
rnacentral:rRNA from 1 species